rnacentral:rRNA from 1 species
UACGAAGGGGGCUAGCGUUGCUCGGAAUCACUGGGCGUAAAGCGCACGUAGGCGGACUCUUAAGUCGGUGGUGAAAUCCUGGAGCUCAACUCCAGAACUGCCUUUGAUACUGAGAGCUUGAGUCCGGGAGAGGUGAGUGGAACUGCGAGUGUAGAGGUGAAAUUCGUAGAUAUUCGCAAGAACACCAGUGGCGAAGGCGGCUCACUGGCCCGGUACUGACGCUGAGGUGCGAAAGCGUGGGGAGCAAACAGG